AAUGAACGUUGGCGGCGUGGAUUAGGCAUGCAAGUCGUGCGAGAAUCGUAGCAAUACGAGGAAAGCGGCGAAAGGGAGAGUAAUGCAUGGAUAUCUACCCUCGGGUCUGGGAUAGCUACGGGAAACUGUAGGUAAUACCAGAUGACAUCUGCGGAUCAAAGGUGUGAUCCCGCCCGAGGAGGAGUCCAUGUCCUAUUAGCUAGUUGGUGAGGCAACGGCCCACCAAGGCUGAGAUGGGGAUGGGGUGUGAGGGCACGACCCCACUCACUGGGACUGAGAUACUGCCCAGACACCUACGGGUGGCUGCAGUCGAGAAUCUUCGGCAAUGGGCGCAAGCCUGACCGAGCGACGCCGCGUGCGGGAUGAAGGCCUUCGGGUUGUAAACCGCUGUCAGUGUGGAGGAAAUUCCUAGGGGUAAUCUCCUAGGAUUGACCUAUACGCAGAGGAAGGAUGGGCUAAGUUCGUGCCAGCCGCCGCGGUAA
rnacentral:rRNA from 1 species